rnacentral:rRNA from 1 species
UACGAAGGGGGCUAGCGUUGCUCGGAAUCACUGGGCGUAAAGCGCACGUAGGCGGCUUUCUAAGUCAGGGGUGAAAUCCUGGAGCUCAACUCCAGAACUGCCUUUGAUACUGGAGAGCUUGAGUCCGGAAGAGGUGAGUGGAACUCCGAGUGUAGAGGUGAAAUUCGUAGAUAUCAGGUGGAAUACCGGUGGCGAAGGCGGCCAAUUGGCCCAACACUGACGCUGAGAUACGAAAGCGUGGGGAUCAAACAGG